CUCCAGAUGUUGCUGAACUACAACUCCCAUAAUUCUCCGCCUAUUUAUUUUAUUCAUAGAAUCAUGGGAGUUGUAGUUCAGCAAUAUCUGGAG
rnacentral:miRNA from 1 species